AGGUGCAGUCACAAUCAAAUGCAAAAAUGAUGGGAUGAUGCAAUAAUGAUUAGCUGGAAUACAGCUGUGAAGAGGUAGGAAUGCAAACCAGGAGCAGCUGGCACCCCUCGGUUCCCCAGGCAUGCAAAUCCAUGUGCCCUUACAGGCUCACGAAGAAUUCUGUCAGAUGCUGUGUAAUAGUUCUGCUACUCUGUGAUGCUCCGUAAAGAUGAAAAUCAGAAAUUUGCCUGUGCUGAUUCACAUGACCUGUGGUCAGUGUCUAUCAACAAGGACCUGCCAGUUACUACUUCAUCUGGAGGAAACCCAGAGGAGUCAAAAGGAAAUGCUUC